CACUCUCUCUCUCUUCCGCCUGCGUCUUUAUUGUAGUUACAUUUCCAGCACUUUUUUUCCCACCACAGUGUGUGAGUGUGGGUGGUGGCGGUGCGCGUGCAGGUCAGUGAUGUUUUCAUAGCACGAGCGGCUGAGACACGGAGCGCAUGAGCGCACACACACGCACACGCGCGCGCGCAGUGAGGAUACGGACGCACGGCACGGACAGAGAGCCACUCGCGCACGCACACCGCGAGGCGGCGCGUAACCGACUCUGAUACCGACACCACCACAAACAACAACCGCCAACUACUGGGACGUCUGUUUUUUGUUUGUUUGGUUGUUUGUUUGGUUGUUUGUUUGUUUUGUUUGUUGUUUUGUUUUCCCCCCGCGCUUUCGAGGAACGCGCGUGACGCACGCGCCAUUUGGAGCGCACGAGCGUUUCCGGUUUUCUCGGACGCGUCGGCUGAGCAGCAGCAGCAGCAGUGCGCGCGCAGAUCACCAUGUACCCGCACGGCAGACCGCAGGCUCCGUUGGUGCCAGGCCAUGCGGGCAUGAAGUUCACAGUUCUGGAGACACUGGACCAUAUCAAAGAGGAGUUCCAGCUUUUCCAGGCCCAGUACCACAGUCUGAAGUUGGAAUGCGAGAAACUGGCCACGGAGAAGACGGAGAUGCACAGGCAUUACAUCAUGUACUACGAGAUGUCGUAUGGACUGAAUAUUGAGAUGCAGAAGCAGGCGGAGAUUGUGAAGCGGCUCAGCGCUAUAUGCACUCAGAUUAUCCCUCUCCUGUCCCAAGAGCAUCAGCACCAGGUUGCCCAGGCAGUUGAGAGAUCCAAGCAUGUGAGCAUGGCAGACUUGAACGCUAUCAUAGGGCAACAGCAGCUCCAGCACCUGUCCCAUCACGCCCCAGGCUUCCCCCUGACGCCGCACCAGUCAGGCUUGUCUCUCGGAGCAGGAGUUGGUCUCAUGGCUCUCCCGGGGGCUUUCCCUUUCCCUACACAUCUGGUGCCGAAAGAUGACAUCAUUCACCCCGAAUCGGUGGAUCUAAGAGAUGGGGCUCCAAACAGGAGUUUUGCCGACUCCGCUGCAGUGAGUCAGUCCCUGGGUCAGAGGCUGCCCCUGCCACUAGGUUGCGCAGCCGAGUCUGUGCCAGACAGCAAGAGAAGCGGUGCAGAAGGAAAGCCACGAGUUCCCACACCCCGGGACAGAGAAGUGGAAAAAAAUGAGGACAGUCUGAAACGGGACAGCACUAAAGAGAAGAGCGUGUCUCCAGCAGGAGGGUCUCCCAGGUCUGCUGGUGGAAAUGGCGUGGACAGCCGAAACUCGUCCAGAGACGCCCGAUCGCCUUCCUCUGGCUUCCAGCACACGCACGCACCCAACCAGCACAAGAGUCCCCCGCAGGAGAAGGCACGCUCUCGUUCUCCAUCUCCGUCACGUGACGCUCCAUCUCCUGCACCUCCUCUGCCUCCUCCCGCUUGUCCUCUGUCCUCCCCAGCAUGCGCUCCCUCUCCUCCUGUCCAGCACUAGGACCCACUCCGCUUCAUGGAGUGAGACGGGUGGGAGAUGAAGUGGCCCUCCCUCAAACCACCCACCCACCAAACCCAGCACACACCGGCUCUGUCCCAUAGUGCAACGGGGUCGAGGACCAGGUGCCUUGCAUUCCAGGGAUGUGCAUUCGCCCACCGAGCUGUACACAAUCCGCGUCCACUACACUGCAGGGCCAUGCCGGAGGCACAGCUUAACAUGCCAAUCAGUCAGCUGUAACAGUGAUUGACAGGUCUGUCAGCCAAUCAGGCAGCUGGAGAGCUGUGGCAAAGCUGAACAUUUUGCAGUGAGCAAGUCAGAGCAAGUCCUAUCGACCCUUGAUAACCGUGGGAACCUACCUAAUUCAUAUACAGAAAUAGACCGAGACCCUUUAACAAGUCCUGUGUAAACGGCCACCUCGAAGUUGUGCUGCGCUGCGUAGCCGAACCGGAUUGUCUGCACAAUCCAUUUCCGAAGAGGGUGACCUUUAUAUCGUCUUUUAUACGCUCACUUUAUGCACUGAGGACUUGUUAUUUUUGCAUUUCUUAUAGCAACAUGCGCAUGAGUAUGAUGGACGUCUACUGGUGGGUAUAGCUGAGACGACCUGGACCUGGAGAUCUGGAGGACGUAAGAACUUUUCAGGUCAUGUAUUUUACGCGCCCUAAAAGGACUGUGAAGAGACAGGAAUUUUAUAUGUGUGUUGUUUUUUUAAUUUUAUUUUUAAUUUUUUUUUAUGUGUGUGUGUAUACAUGCCGAGUUCAUCUAUCACUAUUGCACAAAAGACACUUCAUGCUUUAACUCACUCUGUAUCCAGUAACAUUUAAAGCUUCAUCUGGUCAACUCGGUCUUCUACAGCAGCCCGUCUUCAUCAUUCUUUUAAAAUGUGAUCAAAAAUUUUAUACAAUUUGGAAUAAAGAGGAAAAUGUUUUGAGAUCGUACCAUCACAAUUUUAUGAUAAGUUAGAGGGUUAAAAAUGUUUUUAUCCCAUGCCAGUGUGGAUCUUUGACUUUUUAUGACCUGUACUGUAGAGCAAUUGUAACAGUUUUUCCGUAAACCAAUUCAAUCCUUCAUAACAUCUAAAGCACAGAUACAGCACCGUGUUACAUCAAAAGCUCAGACUUAAAAUCAUUCAAAUAUUGUAACGUAAUAUACUGUAAUAAUUUCAAACUAUUAUUUCAUACCCAUUCAAAUGUUACGAUUCAUUUUUUUUAUCCCAAACUUAAAACAAUUUGCCGUUAGGUUAAGUGUAAUUGAUGACCCUAAUAAACAAACCAUGGAGUCUAAGAAAUGAAAUAAUUUCUUG